rnacentral:rRNA from 1 species
CUUUUCUUGUUAGUUUUUGAAGUAUGGCCUGCCCGCUGACUUGAAGUGUUGAAGGGCCGCGGUAUUUUGACCGUGCAAAGGUAGCAUAAUCAUUAGUUCUUUAAUUGUGAUCUGGAAUGAAUGGCUUGACGAGACACGAGCUGUCUUAAGUUGUGAAUAUUUUAUUGAAUUUGGUUUUUGAGUUAAAAUUCUUAGAUGUUUUUAUGGGACGAGAAGACCCUAUAGAGUUUAACAUUUGGUCUAUUUUCCUUAUUGUUUGUUUUUUUAAUUGAGUGGGCUUAUAUGUUUUGUUGGGGCGAUGAGAGGGAUAUAGUUUAACCCCUCUUUAUUUUGGUUAUAUUAAUUUAUAGUUGCUUGAUCCAUUGAUUUUGAUUAUAAGAUUAAAUUACC